rnacentral:rRNA from 1 species
GACGAACGCUGGCGGCGUGCUUAACACAUGCAAGUCGAACGGGUCUGCCCUGUUUUUUGCGGUGUGGGUCAGUGGCGAACGGGUGAGUAACACGUGAGUAACCUGCCCCUCACUUCUGGAUAACCGCUUGAAAGGGUGGCUAAUACGGGGUGUUCUUGCUGUGCCGCAUGGUGUGGCUGGGAAAGAUUCACUUUUGUGUUGUUUUGGUUGGGGAUGGGCUCGCGGCCUAUCCGCUUGUUGGUGGGGUGAUGGCCUGCCAAGGCUUUGACGGGUAGACGGCAUGAGAGGGUGGGCGGUCACACUGGGACUGAGAUACGGCGCAGACUCCGGCGGGAGGCAGCAGUGGGGGGUAUUGCACAAGGGGCGGAAGCCUGAUGCAGCGACGUCGCGGGAGGGAUGGAGGCCUUAGGGUUGUGAACCUCUUUCGCCGGUGAAGAAGGUCCUGCUCUUUGUGGUGGGGUUGACGGUAGCCGGGUUAUGAAGCGCCGGCUAACUACGUG